AGACCGGAAGAAUGGCGGCAACGAAGGGGAAGAUACUUUACAAGGUAUAUAGAGCGUUGAGCUACGGACUGUCGCCAUUUCUGUAUCUUCAUCUCCGAUGGCGAGUGCUUCGUGGCCUCGAGCACCCUCUCCGGUGGCCGGAGCGUCUUGGUCGCCCUUCCCAUGCUCGCCCUCCGGGUCCACUUCUCUGGUUUCACGCCGUCUCUUUAGGAGAAAGUUUGGCUACGAUUCCUAUAAUCAAGCAAUGUAUUUUGAGGAGGCCUGAUUUGAACAUUUUGAUGACAACAACCACUUAUUCUGCCUUUCAGGUAGUGAGGAAUUGUCUUCCUACCGGUGUCAUAUAUCAGUUUGCCCCACUUGAUACAGCUGCUGCCAUAGACACUUUCAUUGCACAUUGGAAACCUAAAGUUAUUAUUCUAAUGGAGAGUGAACUUUGGCCUAAUCUUAUCUUGGGUGCUUCACAGCAUGGUAUUACUAUGGCAUUGUUAAAUGCUCGGAUGUCAGCUACGUCUUUUAAGCAUUGGUCAAUUCCAGUGUUUAUUCCCCUGAUUUCUUUAAUGCUAUCAAAGUUCUCAUUGAUUCUCCCAUUGAGCAACCUACAGGCCAUCCGGUUCCAGCUACUGCAGGCUCCACCACCGAUCAUCAGUUUUGCUGGUGAUCUGAAAUUUGCCGUUGAAGAUAUUGGAAUGUCAGUGGCAGAGAUAAAAAAGGUUGAAGAUCUAAGAGCACAAUUGGCCCAAAGACAAGUUUGGAUGGCUUCAUCCAUACAUAGAGGCGAAGAAGAAGUUAUACUUGAAGUUCACAAAAUGCUCUUAGAAGCACACCCAAGUCUAGUCACUAUUAUUGUACCUCGACAUCCACUGCAUGGAAAAGAGAUUGCUCUAGAAAUGCAGAAAGAAGGGCAGAAUGUAGCUUUGAGAUCUCAAGGUGAAAACAUCACAUCAGGAACGAAUGUAUAUGUUGUAGACACAUUAGGUGAAUUAAGAUAUUUGUAUGGAAUAACUUCCAUUGCUGUGGUUGGAGGAUCCUUCUUGCCUGGUCUUGCUGGUCACAACAUAUCAGAAGCUGCUGCAGCUGGUUGUGCUGUUUUGACUGGUCCAUAUAUUGCCCAUUUCUCAAGCAUGGUGGCUAAAAUGCAGCAGUUUAAUCCAAUGUCAGUUUUGCAGAUAUUGGACGUUUUCUUUGAGUCAUUGCAAUAUUUCAAGUUUGGUCCUCUAUCCCUGACGACAUCUCAUAUUAGUCCAACACUCCAAGUAUUAACUGUCGGGAUUUUAACUUUAAGAUCUUGAUACGGCCUUCAAAUGCCGGUUAAUUUGAUUUUUUAUGAUAGUUCUGGUUUGAUGACGGGUUCAUAUGAAUAGUUGGUGCGAAAUUUUCCACCAUUCUCCAUUAGGGUAACUAUGUCGAUGCCUGCUUCUAUAAGAAACUAAAGGUUCAUGGAAAGCUGGACCUUGCAGAGGCUCUCAGAAAUCUCCUUGGAGAUGACAAAGUCUUGGAAGCUCACCGAUUGGCCGCAAAACAUGCG